rnacentral:rRNA from 1 species
AGGCUAAUACCGCAUAAUACCCACGGGUCAAAGGAGCAAUUCGCUUGAGGAGGAGGUCGCGGCCGAUUAGUUAGUUGGCGGGGUAAUGGCCCCACCAAGACGGUGAUCGGUAUCCGGCCUGAGAGGGCGCACGGACACACUGGAACUGAAACACGGUCCAGACUCCUACGGGAGGCAGCAGUGGGGAAUUUUGCGCAAUGGGGGAAACCCUGACGCAGCAACGCCGCGUGGAGGAUGAAGUCUCUUGGGACGUAAACUCCUUUCGAUCGGGACGAUUAUGACGGUACCGGAAGAAGAAGCCCCGGCUAACUUCGUG